rnacentral:lncRNA from 1 species
CUCGCAGCCAGGUGGCUUGAAAGCGAUGAAGCUGAUGCACUGUACUUGCCUGGUGUUGUCGAAGCCGAUGAUGCGGACAUAGGCGCCAGGGUAUUCCUUCUUGACCUCCUCCAACUCCUUGAGCACCUGCGUGGCGUCAGUGCACCCGAACAUGGGAAGCUUCCACAUUGUCCAGUACCUCCCGUCCUAGUACCCUGGGGAGUUGCCGUGCUCACGGAAGACGAAACCGACCUUGCUGAACUCGAGGCAAGGAACCCAUUUGGAGCGGAUGAGAUACUCGAUCUGCUUCAGGAGGGACUCCACGGUGAGAGGUGGCAGGUAGGAAAGGGUCUCGAACUUCUUGAUGCCCUCAAUUGGCCACACCUGCAAUUAGAUUAAAAUUAGCACACAAAGUGUGAUUUGAGACACAUAUCGAUGGAGUAUUUCACUUCACACAUAUCGGUAUGAUGAUAUACAUACCUGCAUGCUCGUGAUCCUGCCACCGUUGGAGACGCUGCCGAGGCCAGCGCCGGCAGAGCGGCGGCUGACGGGGAGCCCGGCGGUGGACUUGAGGCCCCGGAAAGGAGCAACAGCGGUAGCCGCCGCCGACAUCACUGUCGGACCCAUAGCAUCCACCCUUGUAUCACUAGAGUAUAUCUACUUAGCUAAUAUGCUAAGUUUGGCACGGAGAGAGGAGGUCGAGUGGACUUCAUUCCUGGUCACAAGGGUUUAUAUAUACCAUAUAACAUACGAGCAAUUUGUGAUUAAUUUGUUGUCGUUCUAGGAGAUGUGGAAAGGGUGGAUGCCGUUCGUUGGUUGCCUUAUCCGUUCUAGAGAAGGGAUGGAUGACCGACGCUCGCUCAGCCGUCUCCUUCGUCCAUCGUUGCCAAUCUUUCUAGCUAUAAUUGGAAGUUCCAAAGGAACAUACGGUUUCAUGCCUACUUCCAUCGGCCUAUCAUGUACCAAUCCAAUAAAAGGACAUCGUUCAACCAUCAAUCCAUGUGUGUGUAGUAAGUGAUUGGCUACGAACCUUCAGCUGACUUGCUUUAUUGGAUAUUUCUGUAAAGCGAGUCCACGGUGUGUGGGUUUAAAAUCUCGUGGCGGCAACUGUUGACGGGUGCAAAUAUCAGUAGCCUUAAAACAAUAAACUUUACUCCGUCCCUUCCGAAAUGCAAGAAUGUCCUAAGUCAAACUUCUUAUGCUGCAGGACCAUAGUUUUUGAGGUGUUCUUCUCACGAGUCCACGAAGAACGGGAAUUUUUUGGUGUCGGGUAAGGGCGGGGGAAUAUAUAGAUGCUAGCAUCAGCAUGACGGGCUAACGGGUCAGGUAGGAUUUUGGACGACGUAGCACCUGACAUGUGGGGGCCACAUGUAAGAAAACCUGUCAAAAUGUCAUAACCCUCUGUUUUGGUCAACUUGAUACAAUCUGAUACAAAACGUGUGGUUUUCCUGACAAAUUAGCAAAUUUUGUGUCUCUGUGAGAAGCACGCCCCAAAAACUGUGGUUCCGUGAAAUUUAUUCACUAGUUACACUUUAUCUACAAACAUCUACGAUUCUAAAAUAGUUUGGUAUAUAUUUUCCGUAAUAUAAUUAUUUGAUAUUCUAAAUUCGGGGAUUUGUUCUUAUAAACUUGGUCGAAGUUUAAAAAGUUUGACUUCGGACAAAGUUACGACUUUUUACAUUUAGGAAUGAAGGGAAUACAUUUUAGUAAAGCAAUUGAGGAAUUGACAGAAUUAAAUAUCUUAAAUUAUACUGGUCCAUCGUGUACUCAUGGCAACAAAAUAAAUUUAUAGUCGAAAAGUUGGACCAUGAAAACUUAAAACGUGAUACAUUAAAAUUGUUGAAUCACUCUACAUCUUGUAAUUUUCUCUUGCAACCUUCUGGCGCGCUACUCAUUCCACAUUUGGUACUAUAUGUAUAAAUGUAUAUAUAUACCGCAUUAGGAGCCUCUAUUACUGUUUUAGUAUAAAUAGCAGUUUCCAUCGACUAUGCACUUCAUUAACUUUUUCUUCACGAGAUAACUUGCUUAUCGAUUUUCUUUAAUUAUCCAGAUGGCUUCUACUAGUUUGUUUCCUUGCUUACUGGGAUUUCCGCAGACUUUACGGUUAGGUAUUAUUGUCGUGUGGACAACACGGUGGCCGGAUGUUGAGAUGAUGAUGUCCUUUAUCUCCGUGUUGCUUCUGAGGACUGCGGAUCCGAGGCUAGUGGCGGUAUGGGAUGCCUCUCUACCUCUUGAUCAGGUCAAUCCGGCUCAGCAAGAGGCGGAUCGAUGGUGGCCGGUGUGACUAGAAGCGGGGAGGUAUAUAUGAAACGUUUCUUGCUUCCAGCAUCUCUUCUAGCGGUAUAUAUGUCGUCAGCUGGUUGAGGGAUUGAUGGCAAUCGAUCAUGGCUACGAUGACAUGUAUACGCGCCGGUAGGAACACAUAUCAGGCAAUGUCGAUGCACCUGCAUUGGGCCCUUGCUGAAGGUGGUGGUGCGUAUGGCAGUCUAAAGAUUUAAGACACAAAUUUAGACUUAAAACUUAAAUAAUCAAUUUGUGCCAGCGGGAAACACACAAACACGUACCGGUAAAUUAUCAUAAUCAGAAUUUGUCGACGAAUUUGAUAUUCUUUUACAAAAUAUACUUAUCUUAAUAUGUAUAACCGGAGUUUAUAUUACAUGCCCCUCUCCCAACGAUAGUUGUAGUACUCUUAUAAUAGUAGUACUCAUGAAUACAGUUAAUCCGGGUUGUUGGGAGAGAUCACAUGCAUAAAUACAACAUGAAACAAACGUGUGAAAAAGGUACAUAAAAUCGGUGUGACCCGUUCUUGUAUUAUAAGAAAUCAACUUGCUUAGGCCUUGCCGGACUCCUCACAACCCGGUGGCUUGAAGGCGAUGAAGCUGAUGCACUGCACUUGCCUGGUGUUGUCGAAGCCGAUGAUGCGGACAUAGGCGUCAGGGUACUCCUUCUUCACCUCCUCCAGCUCCUUUAGCACCUGCGUGGCGUCGGUGCACCCGAACAUGGGAAGCUUCCACAUUGUCCAGUACCUGCCGUCGUAGUACCCGGGAGAGUUGCCGUGCUCACGGAAGACGAAACCGACCUUGCUGAACUCGAGGCAAGGAACCCACUUGGAGCGGAUGAGAUACUCGAUCUGCUUCAAGAGGGACUCCACGGUGAGAGGCGGCAGGUAGGAAAGGGUUUCGAACUUCUUGAUGCCCUCAAUUGGCCACACCUACAAUUAGAUUAAUAAUUAGCACCGAAAGUAUAAUUUGAGACACAUAUCAGUAUUUCACUUCAACAUAUGUACAUGAUGACAUACAUACCUGCAUGCACCUGAUCCUUCCACCGUUGGAGACGCUGCCGAGACCAGCGCUGGCUGAGCGGCGGCCGAUGGGGAGCCCGGCGGUGGACUUGAGGCCCUGGAAAGGAGCAACGGCAGUAGCCGCUGACGACAUCACUGUGGGAGCCAUCGUACACGUACGUAGAUAGCUAACAAGAGGAGGCAGGCUUGCUUGAGUGCUCUCUAGCUACAGCGGCUUAUAUAACUGUAGGCUCCCCACCCAUCCAAUAUCAGCACAAGAUCUAGGAGGGGUGGCUGCAGUUCGCCGCGCGGAUUUGCCCAGGCCACGCUGGCAUCCUACGGAUCAGGUCGGGCGCCACAUGGCCGCACGAAAUGGCGCGCGUUAUCCUCUGGACGGAUACAAUUGGCUGCAACGCACUCUGCAAAUCAUGCCAUGAAGUGACCAAUUUUCACCUAUCAGGAUAGAUCCAAUGUGCCACGGCAUGCACUCAAAAACAGAACUUGCUAAUCCCUCCAAUCCAUAAAAAAUCUCGCCCACUUAUUAGAAAAUUUGUAAUGAGUUAAUGCAAAAUGAGCAGCACUUUUUAUGAACUAGAGGAACAACAAAUUAAGAGAAACUCUUCUAAGAUCUUAUCGAGAACGAAGCUUGCCCCCGCGUCGCUCAGUCUGGGGCGACACGGGCGGCAACCACACCAGCCCCGGCAGCAGCCUCUCCCCGUCCUCUCCUCCCCCUCGCCGCCGCCGGGCAAAGCCCGCACGGGGACGGCGGCGGCGGGGCUGUUUUUCUUGGCGGGGGUGUCCUAGAGCUCUUGGCUGAGGCGUUUGAGGUGCUGCCUCAUCGUGGUCGCGGCGUCUCCGGCCCGAUCCGGCAGGCUAUGCCUCGUCUUCGGCUAGAUCCGGCCGGCUUCCUCCCGGAUCCGGUGUUUCCCCUCGUUCUUCCUCUCCCUGGUGCUCGGUCUGCUCGUGGCUGCGCGGCUUCACGGCGGCGCUCUUCGGCCGGAUCUAGCUACUCGUUGGCCAGAUCCGUCAUCUCCUCCGGCUGAUCCGGCAUGUCCCAGGUCUCUUCGUUUCCAUCAUUUUUCCUCUCAGUUUGGUGAGGCGGCUGAUUGAACUUCACCGGCGGCAGAUGGGCUGCUGCUGCGGCCAUACAUGGUCCAAGUCGGUCCUUUUCGAUGCCAUGGUGGCGUGGUUUUCAUUUUCGGUCGCGUCUUCGGCUGCUGCCCGUGUGCGAGGUAUGGACGUCGGCUCCGGUGUUUGGAGUGUUGCUCUGGAUGAAAACUGCCCGUGUGCGAGGUAUGCCGAAGACAACGAUGUUGUAGCGCCGUUUUCCUUCUUGGAGGUGUCGUCGAAGAGCUUCACUUUCCCUCACUUUGAUGUUUGGUGUCUUCGGGUGAAAACCUAAGAUUUGGCUAUGGCCAGAUCGGGCGACAACGGCGUUUUUACGUCGAUUUCCUCCUUGGGGGCGUUGUCAUGGAGACAACGACUCUUGGUGGCAUCGGGUGGUGUGGUCCGUCUAUGGUGGAGCUUGUUGUCUCGAGUUGUUGAAGGUUUGGUGGUGUCUCUUCUUGUGUCAUGUGUUAGCUUAGGCUGUCGGUUUGUGUCCGGCGAGAACGUGCGUUUCUUAUCCUUUGGUGCGGUUUCGGCAUGUGAUGCCUUUCGUCUUCACUAUCGUCACGUAGGUGUCGUGUUGUAUUCUCGGUGGUGUGUGGUCUUUCGGCUUAGCCAACGGCAAGUGGAGGUAUGAUCUCGGUUGUGUAUUGCCCUUCGACUUCAUCGGCGGCACAUCGGCGUCGCGGUGGGUCUCAGUGACGCGCAGCCCUUCGACUCUGCCGGCUACGUAGGUGUCAUGGUGCGGCCUUGACCCUGUGCUUCCCUUCAGCUACGGCGACGACAUAGUGUCUGGGUGGGCUCGUCAGAUCGACGCCUUUCGACUACAUCAACUAUGCUCUUCAUUGUGCAUUUAUUUUGCCAUUGACAUGUUUCAAGAGUCUAGGUUUUUUCCUUGUGUUUCUUUUAGCAAAUGCUGUUCUGCAGGCUGGCUUUUGCCCACCCGAUCAGAAAAGAAAAACAAAUUAAAGGCUAAAAUCAAGCGAUGUUAUAUUCCCUUAGCUAUUACAAAUAUGGAUGAUAAGAGUUAUUUAUCCUUUUUCAACGAGUAACCCUUUACUUGGAAGUUCCAUGUGCAUGGCGCUGCAAGAAAACAAACAUCAUAAUGGGGCAAGACUUUUUUUUUUAUAAACAUCCAAUUUGGGUUAAAGUCUGAAAGAAUUUGGCUAUCUGAACUUUCAGUUUCCACAUUCUUUUACCUACUCAAUUCUUCAGCCAACAGGAUCAAUGGCGACCUACUAACACCAACCAGAACACAUGGGUCACAAACACGAAAAAGGGCUAGAAGGCUACUUAUACACACUCAUGUGUACUGCGAGCAAAAGAACAUAAUGUACAAAACUUUACAAAAUCUAGGGAAUUAAGACCUUCCCGUAUGCUGUUGCUGCCGCUGCUGCUUCAUGCUGGCUCUCCUGGCAACAUCCCAUGGUUUGUGAGGCACACCUACACCUUGCUGGGAUGCGAAGAACGACUCGUAUCCCGGGGAGUCGAAAGCAAAACCAGUGUGCUUGGAGUUCUCUCGAGGGAGCAUGGAGAUCGCAUAGCUUCUUGCUUCUUCUGGGCUCAAAUGGCUCCUCUCAGGCAGAUGUAUCAUGCUGUAUUCGUGGGGGUCAUCCUUGUGCAUCUCCUGGAUUACUUGGUAGUCAUAGGGAAAGAGCCAUCUUUGGAGCCUGAGAAAGCACACAGCAUCAAAGACAACAAUUGAUUCAGCUACUUCAGUAUGUACAAUGGAAGGAAUAACAAACGGAUGGCAUUAACAAACAUAUAAUUUUGCAAAAGAGCUGGUAUCUUACGAUAGAUACAGGAAAUCACCAAAGAGAGCGAUGACUGGAGCAAGCAUUAGUGUGAGGUAGAAGAAAAAGGUACUCAUCAGAACAUAAAUCACAAAAUAUACAUUUUCCUGCACAAGGUACACAGCAUUAAGUCAAUGCAUUUGUAGCAAGUAAUCGUCAUCAGCAGUGUAAUAGCUACAUUAUUCACCCACCUGUCGGUCAAAUGAUGUCAUUAUCGCAGAAUAUAUGAAGAUAAACAGAAACCAGGCCGCUAUACUGCCAGCUACGCUGAAAUAAUGCCAUCUCGUGAUAGAAUUGCACGACAUGAGGAGACGUAGAUUAACAGUCACCACAACACAAGUAAAGGCCAUCGUGCUAACAUCCCAUUGACCAAGAAUCUUGCCAGAUGAACCGUGACCAUGCUGACUUGCAGCUGCAGUAAAGUAAUAGAACACUAUUGACUGGUAGAAGGCAAAGAAACCCCACACCGCAAUCACUUUCCACCGGAAGAAUGUGUUCCUAAUUCCUUCUUGGUAAAGUUGUGGGUAUUUUUUUGAUAGAGAUGCACUCACAUCCUGAAAGGGUUCAGUUUAGUGAAUGUAGCAAGGAGCGUCACUCCAGAACAAGAAAAGUAGAACAAAUACAAGCAACCAUACCUUAUCAAACAACCCAACCAUAAUUACAGGUAGUGCCGUGAAAAUGACAUUAUACAGAGACUGGAACCAGUCAUCAUAAAAUCGCUGACCAGAAAAGCCAGUUUGGAAAGUGAACCAGAACUGAGUUAGUGUAAAAGUCAGAUUCUUGUAGAAGAAGUAUGUGAUAACCUGAAACAGAAAGUGUCAAUGUUAAAAAAAUUAAACUACACAGAUUGGCAGCUACAAGCUAAGGGACCAAAGCAUACCUUGCACAAUCUCAAGUAUGACCACCGCCCAUGUACAAGAAGUAAAUCCGUAAGAUAUCGAAACUGAGCAAUGGCAAAAUCACUCGCCAUAACAGCUUGCAUUCCUUCUUGUCCGCUGAUGCCAAUACCAACAUGAGCAGCUUGAAUCAUACUCACAUCAUUAGCACCAUCACCAAUACUGAGAGUUAUCUUACGUGCACCUUUCCUAACUAAACUUGCAACCUACAAAUGUGUCAACAUUACAUGUUUUGGCAUCAUUCGAACCCAACAGGUUAUUAGGAAAUAAAUCCAAAAAUAAGAGACUUUGAGAUUGCUGAUGGGAUGGGUAACAACCAAAUAAGCACAUAUACAAUAAGUUAAUUAAUACUACCUUUGUUUCAAAAUAUUAUACCAAAACGUCUUAUAUUUUGAAACAGAGAUAGUACUUAUAGUACAAGAGUGUACAGGACAUUUAGUUAAGAGGCCAAAACUAGAAUAGCAAAAGCAACCAAUGCACAGUGGUUAAUAAUGAUCUUGUGAAUCAUGCACAAACUAUUUUGUUGUCAAGGUACAAAAUUGGAUCCUUUAAAAUGUAAUAAUAUCAAUAUCCCCCGUUUAUUGCCCAAGCAUCCUGAAAGGCAUGCAGCUGAGAGCUGCAGACCAUACUGCUAAUUAUUUCAUGGGAAAAGGCAAGGCAUGCAUGAUAAGAACGCUAAAAGCGAGAAUUGAUAUUUACCUGUGCCUUUUGCAGUGGAGAAACUCGACAACAUACAACUGAUUGGCAAAUUAAACUCAAACCAAGAAGAUUCACACGCAGAGCUGGGUCUAGAGCGUACAUCAAGCAUCGUCCAUCAAUAAUGAAAGCCAACUUUCGUCCUGGCGUGCUCCUCAAAGAACGGUGGGCUUCCUCAAGGUAACUUCUCAGACUCUGUUUUACCGAGUCUUUGAUAACACGUGCAAUUUCCACAGGGUCUCCCUGAAAAUGACUGGAACAUUAUUCAUGGCAAAGAUAUGUGCAUAAGUUGAUUUACAUCAAUCAGAUACAAAUGCUAAAUUGCUAAUUAUGGUUGAUCAAACUGCAAAACACACGAGAUAUCCAAAAGGCUAUAUAAACAUGAUGGAGAGGCUAAAGCACUGAAACAACAGAAUCAACAUAAAGUAUUUUGUACUAUUAUGCAACUAAGCCUUUUGUCCCAAGCAAGUUGGGGCAGGCUAGAUAUGAAACCCAAACAGAAACUAAAGCAAAGUGCAGGUAACAAAAGAGCAAGAGAGUAAAUCAAGGUUCAGGCACAUGGACUGCUGAUUUCCAUGCAGCCCUAUCAAAAGCAAAAUCUCUAGAUACAUUCCAGUCCUUCAAGUCCCUUUAACUGCCUCCUACCAAAAGCAAAUAUCAUAGUAAUCCACCAACCAAAGUAACAAGGGAACUACUUGUAACUUCUUAGUUCACAAGUACAUACCAGUUGAGCUAUCCAAUUAUUCUAAAUAAUAUGGUUUGAUACCUUUACCAAAGUCUCAACUUGUAUUCAUUUUAAAGCUUAUACAAGAUAUUAUAUGUUAUGGCUUAACAGUCUCCAUGACACAAUAUGGCUUGACUUCACAGUUUAAUUCUAUAGGAUUAUCUUACCCUGUCUUCAGCAUCUCUAAUUGCAUCUGUCUCAGAAGUGAUGAUGAAUUGUUUUGUAUCGUUAUUCACCAGGCUGCACGCUGCAGAGCAAAAACUAAAUAACUUCAGAAGCUUUUCUAUGUCAGGUGAAAGAGAGAGAAAAAGACCGCCCGCCCCCCACCAAUAAUCCAAAACUGAGCUUCUAUUAGACCCCUUAAGAACGAAACAAGCAUGCAAAUUGAUCUAUAUAUAAUUAAAACCUCACCAUAUGCUAUAUUAAUUGCUGUUUCCAUUUUAUCUCCAGUUAGCACCCAAAUUUUUAUGCCAGCUGCAGAAAGAGUUUCAAUGCAGGCUGGAACCCCUUCUUGCAGUUUGUCUUCUAUUGCAGUGCACCCUAUCAAUAUAAGGUCCUUUUCAAUCAACUCAGCCACCUACAGGGGAAGAAACAGAAGGAAAUUAUAUGGCAAUGUCCCAGCAAUAUCUUAAAUCAGAAUAUACAUUAAGUCUAUUACUUCAAAUUCCUUUUUCCUAGAAAUCACAGUGAACUUAGUACAUGAAAGAAUGAAAGGAUAAUGCUUUUCUAAUGGGGAUUUGAAAAAACAUCAUAAAAAUAAUAAUAUAAAGUACUGUAUGUUCUUGUUCUAGAUAAAUUACAAAUAUCUUUUGCUCAUGAUCCUCUUUCCUGACUAAAAAAUAUAUAUUAUUAUGUAAAAUACUAAUGUUCUAUGGCAGUACAAGAUAAUAAAUUAGCACAAAAAACUAUUAAACUGCAAAUGUCAGCUGUUAGGGAUGGAUGACAUGACUCCUGUAGUUUUGGGGGGAGAGAGAGAGGAGACACACUGAACAAAUUACUUCCUUCGUCUCCAAAGAUUGCCAUGCCACAUUCUAUUCGGUCAGUCAACCUUUUACAACUUCAAAAUUAACAAUUAUAAGUGAAUUGAAUUACUACAUGAAAAAUAACAGCACUCAAUUUGCUUGCAUAAUAAUUUGUACGCAAAACUUUUGCUUGUAUAUUAGCAUAGAAAUCAUAGCCAGAGUUUUAUGUUGGGAGAAUAUAAAAUUAAAAAAUGGCCUACAUUUGUCAGGUACAUUCAGUUAAUUGUUUCCAAAACCAAAUUAAUUUUCAUACAUAAAUACCAAACGGAUCAAUAGCAUGCUCAACAGUGCACAUGAGACUCGAGUUCAGUACUGGAUGACAGAAAGUAAAAAAAAUCAGGCAAGCACUAGAAGGUGGAGGGGAAGUAAUCGAAAUUCAAAUCACAGGGACUGUUCAGCCUGUAUACUCAACAGAAGAGGAUGGUACACAUACCUCAUCAAGCUUCUUAUCACGAUCUCGUAAAGAAGAUUUAGCUUGAACAAACUUCUCAUUCCAGCUUUCGUACUGCUCCCUGCUUAGAUCUCGAUAAGCAAGGCAAAGCGUGCGCAAGCCAGCAGAGCCAAAUUGUUCUAGAUGUUCUCUGCUUGUCUUUUUAAUGUCAUGAUUUCCAUCAGCUAACCGUUCAAAAAUGACAUUAUCAGCGCCCUGUUACACAACAUUUGUAUAAGGUUAGUGCAUCAAUCUACAAAGUGAUAGCUACAUAAAGAUUCUUUUUUCUUGUAUUACCUUGCAAUACAGAACAAGUUUUCCAUUUGGGAAACGGCAAACCACAGAUUGGCGCUUUCUUGUACUGUGAGUGCAGUAAAGUGUGAAGUGCAGAACAAUGAUUUCAUCUUGUCAAAUUUAAAUUGAAAACAGAUAAACCAGACCUGUUGAAUUCCAAAACAUUCAGAAUUUCAUAUGCAACAUCUUGUAUACUCCCCAUCCUCUCAACAUGUGAUUCCCGAACCAAGACUGUGGUUGGCGUACGUCUACAAGACAGGCACAAAAUGUCAACCACCGGCAUUGCCAUUCACAAUAAAAAUGCCACAUGAAAUAAUUUGCAACAAAAAUCAUAAGAACUUAGAUGAGUUCAUGUUCACAGCACUUGCUUUAACACUUGUCUUAAUUUACAACGGCAAUUUUUUGUUGAUGGGCUAAUAGUUUAUUUAUGCUUCUUAGUAUGUACAUUCAGUCCUUCAUACAACAAACUAUAUAAGCAAUAACCUGGGUGAGUGACUCUUUUAUGCACAUUUUCCUUGGGACCAUAGCAUAGUUUUUUAAGAUACCUUGUUUGCAACAAACUGAUAAGAGGAAUCUAUAACUGUAUUUAAAGGCAAGGUAAGACAUGCCUAUAAAAGAAGAAACCAAAAUUCUUCGCAGCAGCGACAAGCGCGGCCUCGUCGGGAGAGGCAGCUUGAUAAGUAAUCUUUUCCGGUGUCUCCUCACCCUCAGGAAGAACUGUAUGACAGAUUGCAAGGCAUCUGCAGAAUUGCUAUAGAGCAAAUAACAAAGUUGUUACACAACUAGCACAUUAACAAGGGAAAAUGUGAAAAAGGAAAAUAGGUUCCAAAUUUUAUUAGUAAGGGCAUAUAUCGUGAUAUGUGAAUAAUUUGUGUCAACUAAAUCAAAACUGAUUAUGACCAAAGGGGAACCAAUCGAACUAUUCCACAGGUAGUCCCGUAUUUACCACGCAAGCAUCAGGAUUAGGUUCAUUUCUCCAUGCACCACGCAUUAUUCUAGCAUCAUCAAAGUUGAAUCCUUUCUCAUGAACUGCAGUGGCUGAUCUUUUACCCUAAAAAAGGCAAGUAAACUGGAUAUUAAAUCAGUUGUGCAUUAAAUUUUUCAUCAUAUACCACCACACUUCAAUAGCGUAAACAACAAAGAAAAUGUUGUAGACCUCAUCAUCAUCAAUCUUGACUCCGGCUCGCUCGGCUCCUCCUUUUUCAAUCUCUGUGAUGCCAGUUCCAUAUAUUUCCCCUCCAAUCGAACAUUUAAAGAAUUCCAUCAAGUUUCUUGUAAGUGUUCCAGUUUUGUCAGAAAAUAUAUACUCAACCUGAACCAUUAGUGGGGCAAAAAAAAUUUGGCAGAAAUGUCAAAUUAUUUGCAAGUGUUAAGUGCAUUUUAGUACCACUCGGCAUUUGUUCAGUCAUAUAAGCAUUUCUGGGGAUCUAGAACAGUUUUUCGGUGGGAGUAAGUCACUUAAUAUUAGUGAAAUGAGACUGUUCCCCAAGUGCUUAUAAUUGAUCCCACUUUCUGGAAUGAGUCGGUGCAGUGAGGUCAUUCUAUCCAUUAACCAAACCCAGCCAUAUAGGUCAAAUAAGUAAAUAACCCCAUUUCAGCAACAAACAAAGGGGCUUUCAUCAAACUAAACAGAAUGCUAAGGAACAAAAAAAAAACUGAUAUUACCUGCCCAAGCUCCUCAUUCAGAUUAGAAGUCCGAGCCAAAGCUGGGGUGUUGCUCUCGGCAUGAUACAUAUUCAGAUCAUUGUUAAUAAACUUUGCACACUGAAUGAAUUUGAUCAUCUGCCAGCCAAAAUAAACAUAAGGUCCAAUCCAAAUACAGGGUACACUAAAUGAUAAAUUGGUCAAUAUACCUCAAUGGAUACAUAAAGAGAAAUGGGGAUGAUCGUUGAGUAUAGAGUUAUUAGAGUAAACAUAGUUAAAAUGGUCACCUGCAAAAGUACAAACCUAUGAUAUAAGGCCACUUAGAGAAUAUUCUCUACAAUAAAUUAACUAAAAUAAUAUAUACCACAAAUCUGUUCUUGGGAUUAAACUGGUCCUCGACACGCCCACGCAAUCCAAGAUAGAAGUAUUUCUCAUUAAUAAACACGCCACUGUUCACAAAAGCCAAGUAUGAUGAGUCCAUUGGUAGAGUUUUAGGUUUCUAAAGAACGUGCAAGCUAAGCAGUCAUAGUUACCAAAAUCUAUAUGCUGAACAGAGCACUUCCAUUUCUGACCAUCUAGAAAGUGCCCUAUUAUGUACCUCCCACAUAAAACCACUAAGAAAAAAGAUAAGGCUAUUAAGACCUAGUCAUGUGCUCAUCUAUACUGCUCCUAUGCCACAAUAAAAAAAUAACUUCCCCAAACAAGCUCCUGACAACUCAUGUCAUAAUGUUUAAAGUUUAUCUCUCUAUUAACAGUUGUUUUUUCAUGAUCAAUUAAAUUGUGAAAAAUGAUUGUGCAAGCAUAAGCCUCCACAACAUCAACCUAACCGAUAUAACUCAUGUUCAGAGAAUAUACAUGUAAACAAUAAUACAAGAUAGAUAAGUCAAAUAAAUGAAGUGGGCCAAAUAAAACACUGACCUUCCAAUAGCACCAAUGACACACAUCGUAAAGAGGGUUGCAAAUAGAGCAAGAAUAAGCUUGUCUAGUUUCUUCUCCAAUGUACUUCUUUUAGAGGGAACAUUCAUAGAAUUCAUCAUAACCUGCAAUAGUGUCCCACUGCAGUAAAUCUCAAAACUAGAAGCACAUCUAACCUACAAGUUGAAUAUAUAGGGACACAAAAUUGCACAUACUUUCGUCUCAUGGCCCGUGAAUAUAACAGCCGCGACAAUGUACUCUGUAUUACGAAGGCUGCAUCCCUGUGGCAAAGUGGUAAUAAGAGGUUGCAUGUGUGCCACAUAAAGAGAGAGAAUUAAGUGUCAUGCAAGACACCGUUCAGUCUGGUGAAAGUAAACAUUUCUUUUGCACUUUACAAACAUUGCUUCAACCCUUCACCACUUAUCCUACAUAUGGGACUAGAGAAGAAAUGGAAGUUGUUUAUAUGAAUGUUAAACAUUUCCAAAUUGUUUAUAUCAUAGCUAUCCUUGUUUGCAAACCAAUAAGAACAAUAUUAUUAUAGAGGUGUUUUAUGAUGAAAAUUUCUGCUGGUGACAUUUGGGUGUCGUCAAUAUUGGUAUUUGGAGGAGAUGUUGGUGAUCAAAGUUAAAGGCCGAGUAAAGGCAUCACGCUAUGAUGUUAUUUUUUACCUGAGGGAUUUUCUUAACAAACUCAUGCUAAAUCUAGAACAUGCAAACAACUUUGCAGGUGGACAAUCUUGUAAAGAAAUUUCAAGGGCAUGUUUGUGUGAGGGGUAUUACUUUGGUACGUGUUGGUAACUACAUACCUAAUUGUUACAAGAAAAAUCUCAUCCAAACAAGCCCUAAGGACAUUAUGGACCUUGCUACUGCAAAGUUGGUAAGUCGAAAAUACGACAGGAUGUCUGAUUGAUAUGUAGGACCUGGACCCACAUGUCAUUCUCACAGCGAGUCGCACUAUUUCAAAUGUCAACUUUGUGGUGGCAUGGUUUCAAUUUUCCCAAUAAGAAACUAGAUACAAAUAGCAUAGAUGAACAGCACUUACCCUUAGUAGUAUUUGAUUUGGUGAAAUUGGUAUAGUUUGCUUGUCCACAAUAAGGUUCCCGGUAAAUGUAUAAAGUGAAUUGUUUGGCUGUUCGCAUUGUAUUUCACCUGUAAGCCAUGAAACAUACAGAUAAUGUGAAGUUAAGAAAAUGUAGAAUAGUUAAGUGAAGUUCAGAAAAGGAGCAAUGCUUCCUACACCAACUACCGAAAAAUGUCUGCAACAUGGAACAAGAAUAGAUAAAAACCUUUGAAUUCAGAAGCCUUUUCAGGAAUUACGCAGUCCCAGGUUUUCUCCAAAGCCUUCCUUAUUUUCAGGUUAGUUUCCCCAUCAAGAUUUGCUGUCUAAGGUAAAUAGAAGUAUGAUACACUUCAAUUAAAACAGAGUUUCUCUAAAUCAUUCAAUAAUUUCAAUUUGGACAAAAGAUGGAGAAGGUAAGAAUGAAUAUAUUGACCUCUAUGUAGCAGACACCAUCAGGGUUCGUACUUGAUAGGAAGAGCAAGUCAGAAGGAAAGUAAGUGUCUUGCUUGAUCUGCUCUAAAGAAGUGCCAUCACUAUUAGUCUUUUUGGAUAUGUGUAUCGAGCUGAAGAUUAAAUUUGCACAGCACAAAAGAUCAAGUGCAUUAAUUUGUGGAAGCAACAGAUCAAUUGAAUUGAUCAUCAAAUUGCUAUCAGGAAAGAUGAAGACAUUACCCUCACAAUAUCUCCAACCUGCAGUCUUUUCCAAGGGGCACUUUCCCAUUUUUGACCUUGCAAUACAUCGACGUGCGCAUUAUUAAUUGACAUGUCAUUCUGGAAACGUUUCUGUAUAAUGGGAGGCAAACAAAAAGGGAAGAAUAUCAGAUAACAUUAAGAAUAGCAAUAAAAUAGUGGAGCAACAGAGCAUGAGAGCAAUACUAACCCAGUCCUCAAAAGCUUCCUUGAUGAGUGAAACCAAAAGCACUAAACUAAGUGGAACCACAUUGGUGACAGGGUGGACUGGACUGCGAAGAUACAAGCAUGUAUGAACUAAGAUUUCUAGAAGUAAAGGUGAAGGAAAGCAAAGGAUGACUGAAUCAACUGAUGGACUUGAUAUGCUAAGAAGUGUCUAGCUGUAACAUGAGAAUUCCAUAGGGUGCAUGCAUGAGAGAGAGAGAGAGACCUAAUUGGUGUAGUCGACAAGAUUGAAAUCAUAAGAAAGUAAAGAUUUGCCACCCGUCUGAACUGUCAAAGCAAAAAAAAAAACAAAUGAAUUACAAAAGGUUCCUAUGGUCAAAUUGCGAUAAUACAGAAAGGGAACAUCUAAAUCGGUGUUACAGCUACCAUUGCAAAGUUUCUUUAUUCGAUAUGGAAAAAUGCAUUACAUGUUUAAUGUAUGAAGCCAUUGAAAUACUUUAAUGUACCUUACGUAAAAAACAGUGGAUAAUGAAAUUGCCAGAAUUAUGGUAUCGCAUAAAAUGAAGGUUACAUUGAGCGAAAAGCAUGAUCAGGGCUUUACCAAAUAACAAAAUCAUACUUCUCCUUUUCUCAAUAUAUGGCAUUUUAGGUUUCAUUGAAGACAAGUCUUUGAAAAGGAUUUACUUUGUGUUGUUUUUAAGGCAUGAAAUUUAUAUCACUAGAUUCAUCCUCAAAAGUACUUAAUGUGGAUUCAUAUCAUAUAAAUCACAUAUUAAUGAAGUAAUUCUUGGUCAAAGUCUUGUAUUAACGAAACCUAAUAUGUCCUGUAUUGACAAAAUGAGGGAGUAUAUUAUCUAACAGUGCAUGUAUACAGGCACGAUACUGGUAGCGCGUAUUACAAGCAAGGUAUCUUAAAAACAUUGCAACACAGUGCCAGACCAGGUAAGCAACUAAGCAUCUCAUGUAUCCACUAUUUUAAGGGAAGUUGAUCCAGAGUGAGGAAAUAAACAUUUUUAAGGAGAUAUAUCAAUUUGCAAUGUGAAAAUGAUACGGAGUAGUAUAAUCAUUUCACUGUGAUAACAAAUACUCCCUCCGUUCUAAAUACUUGUCGCUGUUUUAGUGCAAACUAAAACAGCGACAAGUAUUUAGGAACAGAGGGAGUAACUUCCAUUUACCGUUAGACAUGAUACAAAAUAAUAUGUUGAAAAAAAAUCUAGCCAAAAACUAAAAAACAAACAGAAAAUCUGCAUUAAACGAUGACAAACCCAGCAGGUAUGUUGAUUAACAAAAUAUGUAUGAACAAAAAACAACGCAUCAAUACCUGUUCAAACAAUCCUUUAGGUAGAAAUGUCAGCACACUGUACUUUGUAGUCGACACAGAAUUUCCCUGGAAAUGUAGAAUGAGAAUGUUAAAGAACUAAUUCUAGCAGAAAAACAAAGUAGCGCUCUGCAUUAGAAUCGCGAUGGUCUGAUACCCAACAUGAGGGAGAUUCUGAAACUAAACAGAAGAGCUAAUUGCAACUAGAAGCAUGAAAAAAGUAUAGCUUGAUCUUUUUACAACAUCAAGUCUGAAUACAUUCAAGCAUUUACACUAACUUGGAACAAAAUGUGGGUGUCAAAGAAAAUGCAUGAAUACACCUACUUACAAUAAAGCACCAAUUUUGCAGUGAUUGGACAAACUAUGGUUAAAAUACUUAAUAAUAGAGUUCUACGUAUUUGGAGGCAUAAAACGCAUUGCAGUUGGAGCAGUGGCAUUAUCAUGUUAGUCAGUCUAACAUGGCAGUGAAUGACGUGAAUUUUUUGCUAGUUUAGACCUCUGGCCAGCGCAAUUGACAAAAAUGCCCCCCUCUCAAAACUAAUGCCAAAAAUGGUCUGGCAGAAGGCCCGAAAGGCGCCACAUUUCAUUUUUCGCCAUCUGAGCUGCGCAUGCAAACAUUCCGACAACCUGAAAGGCGGAAAGGCCGUUCCGCCUACUGCAUUUGAUGAAUGCACCUGACAAGGGCGGAAGGUGAACUGGGCCCUGCAGAUGGAAGCAAUUUCCACAUUUGUUACAGACCUGGAAUCUUUUUUUUUGUUGGAGUCGACGGACCAUGUAUGUGCGGAUGCAUAGGAAUCGGCAAGCAGCCUAGCUGCUAGUUCACGGGCACGUUUUACAUUUUCUUUCCUCAGGUUUGGCUAGUGCUACCACGUUGAUACUAAUCAACGCUUCUUGUGAAUGGGCUUAGUUGCUUCUACUAGUCGUGCGAGCGUUAAUCUUUUCUCUGUGCGCCUGCAUGUGCGGGCGUGGGAAUCGGGUCAGGUCCCUGCAGACAGCACGCCUGGCUGCACUGGGCCUGCUUCAGCUUCCGCCCCUGAAAAUUCACUUUCGUCCAUUUCAACUGGAAACAAGUAGGCUCCACCUGUCCUGUUGGCGGAAAGUUCAUUCCUCCUACCCAGUGGCCACUGGGUCAGUUGCUGGGCUUUCCACCACGUCAUUUUUCAAAUUAUAUUUCAGAUGGAGCUAUUUUUGCCAAUUCCGUUUGACAAGGGGCUACAAGAGCAAAGAAAUUGAAUGACAUAGCAAGCAAUCAAUUUCCCCUUAUAGGUAAAUAAUAAACAGCUUUGCUUCAGCUUACUGUCAUCAGCUGGUGGCUGACUGCCCUGACCAAACACAAGUUCAGUAAUCUACACAGCAAGCGGCACACAGGUGCAGCUAAGCACAUGGAUGAACAGAAUAUUCCAGCCAUUGAGGCUCAGCUCUCGAAGCUUAAUGCCAGGUGGCAUCUACAUUGUAUUGCAGCCCGUAGCACCCUGAUUGACUAGUAACCCAACAAUGAGACAAGCUCUAAUCCACCCAAUGACCUCACAGUUGGCAAGAAAUGCAGCCCUUAGUGACACGCACCACCCUACAUAACUUUCUCGUGGACUAAUCAGUAUGAAUCAUAUAAACCCUCUGCAAGCUGCAGUGAAAUAAAACUACUACUACUGAACUAGCUAUUGUCCCAGAUGGCCAUCUCCAACCCAACCGCCCAAGCAUGAAACAAGGGGCCAGUUACGAGAUCUAGGCCUACAGACCCCUAGACCUUGAGACAACCGACCUGUUGAUCAUCCGAAUUAGAGGAGGAGGUGCACACCCGUACCUUGUACCCGACCGGCGCGUUGGCUUCGCGGUCGUUGCAGUAGAUGGUGCGCACGGUGGGUGCCUGCGGCUGCGGCUGCCGUCGGAGGCUGCCGCCCCCGCCGCCGAGACGCGCCGUCCUGGACGCCUCAGCGCGGCCGGCCUGAGAGGUCCCCCCCCGCGGCGACUGCUCGCCGCCCAGCCGCGCGGUGGCAACCCGCAUCAUCUCCUUUAUGCGCGAGCUCAUCCUGCCCCCCUCAGCGCCAAACCCAGCGCUGGAGGAGCCGGCGGGAGAUCUGGGGAAACCUCACGGUGGAUCGGAGGGGAGACCUAGUCGGAUUUGCGCGGCUUUCUGGUGGAUUUCAGUGCCUCGCUGAGGAGGGGAUUCGAUUUGGGUCACGCGUUCCCGUAUGUGCGUAUUUUUUCCGUGUAAUUUUUUUGUUUUGCCUUUUUCUUUUCCUUUGGCUCCGGGAGAAGAGAAGACAGGAGGGGAAGGAAAAGCGAAGGUCGCGACUUCGCGAGGAAGAAAAUGAAGGGAUUACUGCAGAUCACACCCUUGAUUAUUUUCGAAUAUGGAAAGCUCCAGUAACUGAAGUUUGAAAUUCCAGCCGCGUUUGUCUUUUCCUUCUUCGAGCAAACAACCGUGUUCUUGACUUGUUCUAUGUUUUUGCUGUCCGGAGGACUACCCGAUUUGCAAGUAAAUAAUGGCAUUAAUUUCAUAUAAGCACUUUAGGACACCACACUUGACAUGGUUUUCUACUGACGACGACUAUAUGGUGGCUUUGAUGUUCCAUGAAUAGAUCUUUUUAGCGGUGUUUCAAGUUCAGGUGUUAUAACAAAGCAUUACUCUUGACCUAUCUUCCCUUGCGACCAUGCUUUUUGAAUCGCCAAGUCGAGUCGAAUCGCCCCCCAACAGACUUGGAGGUUAGUAUGAUUAGUCAGAAACUAGUCUCGACUAAUCAACCCAAGUCGAGCCUAGUGAUCAGUGAGGUUUAGGGAGCUCUAGCAGGGAGCAUUAGAGGAAAGGAGUGAAUUGCAGUAGAGGGGAAGCACGAGGGAACAGUUUUUGUGGUGCUGGAGCUUGAAGAAGAGGUUCAUGGCGGCUAGGAUCUAGGAGUCGAUAAACUUAGAACGCCCGUGUUGAGGCAAACGCGUUGAGGAAGACGACUUCAAAGGUGGUUGGCUCAUUAUCAGGAUAGGUGCGUGCCUGGCAGCCCAUAAAGGCCUAUUAGAAAACCCUAACUCCCCCCUCCCCCCCCCCCCCACACACACAUUGCCUUCUUCUACACCACACACGCACCAAUGGCGGCCAUCUUCUUCCCCUUCCCUGCUGCUCCCCAUGCCUUCUCUCCCUCCCCGAAAAGAAAUAUCUUCCGAAAAUUCUUCUCUUCGAGUCAAGUUGAGGGGCUCGCGGCGUUCCUAGUCACGGCGGCUAGUCGGAGAAGUCGCGGUUCUAGCUGACGAGUCGCGCGACUUGCUCUGCUAGUCGAGUCGCGGCUGCAAGCCGCCAUCAUUGUGCUGGCUCGGCGACUAGUUGGCGAUUCAAAAACCAUGCUUGCGUCUUAUAAUUUUGUUUCCUCUUAGAUUUUUUUCAAUUAUGUAUGGAACUCUUUUAAGCUUGGCUAACAUAUUGGGUCAAUUUGUCUCCCAUUGAAAAAAAAACAAUUUCCUAUAAAAAAUAAAGUAUCCACAAAACAAUAUGCAUAGCGCAGUUGUUUUCAAAGUUGUGGAUGAAACUUUGUGUUGUACAGGCAACCACUUAAUAACUUGUUCGGUUGUAGAAUUCCCCGCAUGUAUUGAAGAGGAUUAAGAGAGAUCUAAGGAAAAUUGAUCUGCAAUUCGAUCAUUCCCUCUUAAUCCCCAUCGGAGUGGAAUCAACCGAACGGGGCUAAUGUGGACCAUAUCACCUUGAGGACUCCAUUCUUCUUUUAUGGCAACGUUGCAUGGACCUUGAUAUGAACGCACGUGCCUGCAAUCUCUAUUAUUUUUUCGUAAAUAGCAACUGUCCUUUCUGUAUCUUGUAAUAUGUUUUCUACAAUUUUAUUUGGGAUAUUUCGUCAAGAACCCAAAUCGAUUACAUUUUCCACUUUGGCGAAUGAGUCAAGAUUCUCCAUGUGUUCCAGCGAGGCAACUGCGAGCUACACAUGUAUGGUGAAACAAGCCUCGCAACUUCGUAAGUAACUCCAAAACUACAUCAGCACGUCUCUUGAACUUUGGAAACACACAGACGUGUUCCACGACCGUGAGGCGACGGAGUUAACGGGGCAGCGUUGCCGGAAAGACAAGAGUACCGUAACAAGGCCCAGACUGGGCUGCAUCGGCGUUCUGCCUCUAUUACAAGCGAGAGAUGUUGAACCGGCCAAGGUUAGGCAAGGCAGUCAGCGGGAGGAUUUUUUUUUUUUUGUUGUUGGUUUUGAAGAGGCGCGGGAGGAGAAGAACUUGCUUGACCAGCCCACAAGAUCGUGAACCGGUAUGACAUUGACAUUUUAUUUAGGGCCAGUAACGUGUAAUUAGAAGUACUAGCUUACAUCUCUUCCUUUUUGAACCGUCAGAUCUGCAACCAUAUCAUCUCUCCCCUUUGUCCUCUUCGCUAUGCCGAUUUUAGUGAAACGCCGCUGCCAAAUCUUCACAGGAUUGUGAACCGGCAGCAGCUUCGACCCUUCAAUAUUAUUAUUACAGCUAAAUAAAAGACUGAAAUUAUAGGUGAGGUCCUUUGUUCUAAUCGCCCAAGCGAGCAGAAGCCAAGAGAUUACGUGCAAGCAUAGCAUGGCCAUGUUCGCCAACUCAUGACAUAGUGGCACAGGGACUAACCACCUGGAUUACAUGGCUAGCUUCCAUAUAUGUGCAACAAAAUAUUGGUACCAGGCAGCCAUCUGUGCCACCAACCAUAAACUCCCUGAUCCCAAAAAAUACAAAAUACCAAGAGUUUCCACCCACAUCAGUACAAGUGCACAACAGUUUAAGAGACAAGCCAAGGAUCAUUCCCAGUUUGUGGGAAUAAAUAAGAGUCCGCAGCAAACAGAAAACUCAAAAUCGCUGGCAAAGUUAGGAUGUGGAAAAAAGAAAGGCUUAAAAUGAUCUAGCCAUGGCGUCAGAAUCUAUUAUCAAUGUUUCUCUCUCAAGGAUUUCCCUUCUAUAUAAAGUAUAAUAUUACAAAGGGGCUGCUUAAAUAUCAUGGACUCCUGGAAUGUAAAGAGGGUAAUAAUCAACACUACAUGAGCCUCCUUUUUCCUGAGGCUGCUUCCUAAGACUGACUGACUGCUUCCCCGAGGAUCCACAUACACCCUCCCCUCUCCUCAAGUUCCACCUCCCACCAUGGAAGUUAAACCCCCACCAUGGAUCCGAUGCUAACCAACUGUACGCGACCUGGAGAAAGUCAGUCAGCUUGGUGGUUCAAUCAAGACAGAGCAUCACGAUAUUGCCCAAAUGGUAUAAUUGGCAGGAUCAAUAAGUAGUUUAUGCUCGCAGCAAGAUCCAAAAGAACCAAUCUACCAUGACUAAUGUAUGACAAGAAUGAUGUCUUAUGUCUACUUUCAGAUACACUAUGGUCCAGGUGAAACAAUAUUUUAAAGUUUAGUAAUUACUGGCAGUAGUAGACAGACCACAGAAGUGUAAAGAUAUUUGCACACAUGACCUUUUAAUCCAAGGCUAACCCAACCUUGUAAGCUACGUGCUGUUUGUGCUAACGCUGCUGCUUGAAUGCAAUUAGACAGUGGUGAUGUCCUUGUUAGUCUGUUACAUACCUAAGGCAUCACCUCCUGAUUCUAGGUUUGCACCGGAACUCUGCUAAGAGCGCUAUGUGAUCUGAUGACCAUUCAGGUGAAGGAAGAGCAGUGUCUUUUCUUAAGCUCUCCUCAUCCAGAAGUUCCAACAAAGACUCCACGGUCAACGAAUCCGCUGAAACAAUAAAGGAAACAUGAUCAACUGACCAUAAUCAAACAUAUCACAAUACUACAAGCUGAUUCUGAAGCAAUUCCCAGAAGUCUAAAUACAGCAUACAGGUCAGGUACCUACCUGUGUAAAAUAUAUAAUCAACAGUUCCAGUGAAAUCCCUUGUGCAAUUUGUGAAAAGUGGUUCAUUUGUUCCUGGAUCCAUCCUCCUUCGCUGGUGCUCUAAAUCAUAGCCAACACCUACCAUUCUUGCAAAUGAAGAAUAUGCACUGACCUGCAAACAAGUAAACAUUGGUCAGAAUUUUAAAGGAAGAACAAGAUAGACAAGCUUGAUAGUUUUACUGUACCAGAGGAAGCUGGUGCGUCAACUUGCUCACGGGGCGUAAAAUUGAAAGUGGGUCUAUGGCCAGAUCUGGAUGCAAUUGAUCAACUUUGCCCACCGCAAGAAGCCCAUGUGGAGUACUGAAAGACAAAAGGAAGCACUUAGAGAUUUAAAGUUAGAAAAAACAAGUAAACCUGAAAAAUAUUGCUCCAAUAGAAUCUUGACAUGCACCUCCCCGGGAUUGAAUUGAAAUCCCCACAGACCAACAUUGGAAUGUCUGCACUGUUGGCUAUUUUCUCCAAUCCUUUUAGUAGUGUUUGAACCUGCAAAAAACAUACUUACUUUCGAUCUGAAUUUUUCAGAUGUUGCAGAAUGCUAGCCUACAGAGAAUGUGACAAUACUGACCUCCCAUAGUUUCACAUCUUUGAGGUCUUGGUGGACAUUUACAUGUGUAUUGGCCUGAAAUUUGAGAUCAUUUAAAAGAAUGAGACCUCCAUGACUCCAAGUAGCAUAAGCCUAGGCCGUAUGAACAAUGGGAAAUCUGUAGUAAAGUUGGCCUCAAAAUCUAGAGUCUAGAGAGCCAAGUCCCAAUCAUCCGCCAUUAACAUAUAGAUGUUUCCGUGCAUCUUAUGCUACUAAGGUCAUCCUACACAGAUAUAUGUUUCACUUCAUUCCUAAAUGUUGUGAGCAAAGAAGGAAAAGAAUCCAUAUGUUGUUCUGCACUAUGCUGCUAGCAGUUCAAUAGCUAAACAUACGGGAAAGUCCACUUUUGGCCCCUUAACUAUUGCCUCAGAUCAAAAUCAUCUAAUUUGCACCCUCAACUAUCAAAAGCAUCCAAGUUACAUCUGAAGGCAAUAUUUGUUAGAGGCUUUGUGUGAUGUGGCAUCCAUGUCAACGUGUUUUGCCACAUCAAUCGCUGCUGGGCAGUAGGGCCCACAUAUCAUGGCUGCCGUGCCCCUUCUUUCUUUAUAAUUCUUCCUCCUUAGCCAUGCCAUGGCCUCCUCUGUAGGCUAUAGCUUCCACUGCUGCUGCUACAGAUAACCCAUGUUUGACGUUGCAUAACAUCUUCUGAUUUAGAGAGGGGUAUCCUGACAGACAUGUACCAGUCUCCGCAAACCGCUGCACGGCUGCAUCCUGAGGGGAAUGGACAAAGAGAGGAUUAGAGAGGAAGGCUGAGGAGGGAGGCGUUUAGGGCGACUCCAACACGGCCACCCAAAUCGGACACAAAAAGUGUGUCCGUUUGGGUCUGCUGGUGCCCCUAACACGGUCACCCAUUUGGUCCGUUUUAUUAUUUAGUAUUGGCCACGGAUAGGCGGGCCAGGGCAAGGACAAGGGAGGACAAGCGCAGUGUCCACCCGCUGUCCGCCCAGACACAAACCCGGUCAGAUUUGGGUCGGCAAUGGGUUGAGCUGGACAGAAAAGCAGACAGCCGCCACACCGGACGAAAUGGGUCGCCGCGUUGGAGUCACCCUUAAUGCUAAGCUGGGAAAGAGGAAGGGAACAGAAAUAAGAGGAUGAGGACAAGGGAGGGAGAAAAGGGUGCUUCCAAAAAAUCAAUCCCAGGCAUGUGGGGCCUACUGCCCAGUGGAGAAUGAGAUGUCAAAGUUGCUGAUUUGGCGGCUACAUACAGAAUAUCACUCAUGAAACCAGCUUCUGGUCCUAUCGAACGGUUUCAUGAGUUGAUGGUUCAAUUUAGACCAGGCAAAAGUUGAGGGAUCAUAAUUAGGCUUUUCCAAACAUAAAUGAAUGUCAUGCUGUAAAAGUAGUGUUCGUCAUCCAGUAAACUGGUUCGAAUAUCCAACAAGCGCACAACUACUUUAUACACAUCUAAAGAAAGAACAGCUAUUUACAUACCACACAAAGGAGCUGCCUUUUACCAGGAGUUUCAGUUCCUUGGUUGCCAAAUUUUGCUUCUAAAACCGCAAUCAGCGCAAUAUUAUCCUUCAAAGCAAAUAGAACGUGUGAUAAAUAACAUCACUUUUUUUUGCGAAAAGUGAUAAAUAACAUCACUGUAGCAUACAUUAUUUCUUUUGAAGUUAAUCUUACUUUAAUCAGUCGACUUAAAGCCACUCUUUUCUGGGAAGCUGGAAUAAUAGCUUCUGUUAAAGACUGUGCAGCCUUAUUGAACUCAACCUACACAAGCAAGUACAAGUAUUAGAUAGCUGCAAAUAUCAAGCUGCUGCAAACCUGCAGUACAGGUACCUCGUAUUUUUUGACAUGUGAAAAUCUAUCUCUACGGAAGAAAGUAGCACAGCCAUCAAUGGCAUUAGGAACUCCAGCAUACACCUGUGACAACAGUAAAGUAAAAUCAAACAAGAGACAAAAGGUAUUAAACCAAAAUAUGAAGGAAAAAAUCAACCCAAAGAUACCUCUGUUGUCCGUUUCUUGUAAAGCGCCUGAUACCCAUGUUUAUCAAACUCAGGAGCAAAAAAAUCCUCAAAGUGGUUCAAUUGUACCUGAAAACAGUAGGACUUGGCUUAAUUCCCUCCUGUUACAAUCUUCGGUCACUCUUCGUUUUUAUUGUAAGCCGCUUCAGUAAACUCUUCAUAAUAUAUAUGCAGACAAUAUUCGUGAAAGUUUAAACAGCAAGCAAACUAUCAUAAAUUCAUAAUCCAACAUCACUGAAAAGUGAAAACAAUCAAACAAAGUGAUGGCACAAAUAUGGAAACGAACAGCCCAGCAGUAUAUGAAAGAUUGUAGGUUGAUGAACAGGGUUCCGGCAUUAAAGUUUACCGAGUCGCAAAAAUUAUAUGAUCAACCAAAUGAGACAUGCUCGGUUCCUAAAACAAAUAUAUGAGAUGAAAAGCUGAAAAUAGGUCACCAAAAUAAAUAAAUUCAGAAGAUAGCAAACAUAUGAUACCUCCUGAAGACAUAUAAUAUCAGCAUGAUAACCAAUAAUUUCGCGCAUCAAAUUUUGUCUUCUGUAAGUCCAUGAAAGUGCCCACGUUGGGCAGUAGCUAUAUGCAUCAGAUGUAGCAUAUGCAUCAGCAAGAAUAUUAUAGGACAGCACCGUGAAUGUCCCAAAAGAAGAAGUCUGGCUGUCUAUAUCUGAGUGACCCAAAACAUCUCCAUUCACUUGGAUAAGGCGGCGUGGAGUAGGAGUUGGUGCUGGAAUCACACGUGAUGUCAUAAUUGAAGUUGGAGACCCCGCAGGUACUUUCUUUUCCGUAUCCACCGCUGCACAUUCAAAUCUUAGAACAUGCCCAAUAUCAUCAGCAGUUGGUGUAUACGUCUGCGAGCGUCCCACUUCAAACCAUGUUUCACCCGAGUUCUUAUCAGUGCCUGAGGGAUACAAGGGAACAGGUCCAUUAUUAACUCCAGGGCUCUGUCCAAGAUUUGACAUUGAGCCAGACCCAGAACUUAGAAUCCCAGAACUACCGCUGCCAAAUCUACCAAAUAGCUCCUCCUCUUCAGCUCCAUUUUCAUUUAAAGCACUACUAGCUCGCUCAUGCAAAACCCUGUGGUGCUGCCAUGCAUCAGAGAAGCACUUAGCAGAACAAUGGUAGCUCUUAGCAGCAGGUAUUUUUGACUUGAGACAACCUAAGCACUGAAUUGUUGCUUGCUCCAUCGGAUGUACACUGCAGAUAGUAACUUUUCGAUCACUCUGUAUGCGAUACCUUCGAGCGAAAAGUCAAAUCAGUAUAACCAUGUGCUACUAGAUACAGAAAAAGUUUAGAAGAACAUGAUUGAAUAUAGUAACUACAAGAAAGGACACCUAAAUUGCCAAUGUUUUAGCAUGUAUGAGAUCCAGGAAAACUUGCUAUCAGCAUCUUGGAAGUCCAUUAUUCAGAGACAUUAGACUCACAACACUUCCAUUAUAAGCAUAGUAUGAAUAAGGCAAAAUGAAGCAGGUUGCCAAGAUGUCGCAAAAAAAAAGAAGCAAAUUACAAGUUUGCUUGUCAUGAGUUGCUGCUGCUGUUGUUUUUUCUUGAUUUUAGUCCCUCAACCGGCUAACUCGUGAUCAUUCAUCUCUUGCUUUCUUUACCAGAUCAACCAUGCAACUGAUUUCUUUAGCGGACCAGGCAAUAUAUGUAAUAAGCAAAAUUCUACAGUUUAGAUCAGAGAUUCAGAGGACUAUUGCAGGCUCUCAUAUAUCAUCAUUAGGGCAUGACGACCAGACAAGGAAGUUGCUGUGUAUAUUAUUAUUCCUAGAAGAAAAACAUUUAAGUACUGUUCAAGGAGGCGACCAACUAUAGCCCAGUGCCCACCCCAUCAAUCGAUUAGUGUCUUUCAGAACACUUCAUUUCAACAAUGUGUCUAUAAAUGGCCACACUUACUAUACUCAAACCUCAAACCUUAAAAGUGAAUAAAGAUGCACAUAUCACAUGAGAUUCUAUCAAGCUAAUGACUGAAAAGCAACACAAUGAAAAUAUAAAAAACUAUAGAAUUGAAGGACCAAAACCAAUGAAACUGCAUGAGUGUUAGUGGGACCAAGCACCACCAUUUCGAAAAGUUCUAAGGUCUAAAGUCUCAGCAAUAAAUGCUAUUUAAACCUACAUGACAUUAAAAAAACGGAUGUGAUAAAACAAAUAAAUAUUCACGAACAUGAUCAAUCAUUCAGAGCGGGAUUCUAAAAUUGAUCACUGAAAUUGUUCGGCCACCCAGCUAUUAGUGAUUAUACAGCCGAGCUAGCUCAUUGCAGUGGGUGGCAUAACCAGCGGUUACAAGUUCUUUUCUCUCAUAUUUGCCUCUCCAUUUUUCAUUUUUUUAUUUCCAAAUAGAUCUACAAUGUUAUUUGAAUUUUAAAAAUAAUAGGUAGGGCACUCCUUACAUACAUGACCUCCUAGGCCAUUUAAAACAAAUAUGCAUUGUUUGGGGUUUUUUAUAUAACAUAAAGUAAGUUAACUAUGACACACUGCCAAAAUAUUUUUGCAUAAAAAACAUUAAAUUUGAUAUAGCACAGAAAGAACGUGGAUAUCCAGCAAGAGAUUAAAGAAGGCAAAGUGGGGCAGGCAGUCAGCAAAACAAAACUAGUGGAUCACGAGUUUCAAACUUUUACUAGCUUUAAGCAACUGAAAUAACUUGCCACUGAACCUAGUGAGCCAACAACUCUAACGUGUAAUAGCAAACAAGUAAUAAUUCUUUUGAAGCUCCAGAAUAAUCAAAACUGAGUCUAGAAUCAAGCUAGAAUGCCCAUUUGAGUUCACUGGUGAUGUUAGAGUGAUACUUAGUUCAAGGAGUAUAUCCAGAUACCCCAAUCAAAAAAAUCAUCUGAAGCCAUGCGAACAAACUGAUGGCACUUCUAGAAUAGUGUCUUUCCACAAAAUUAGUUAGAUAAGCCUAUGUAAUCCCAAAAUUUAUAAAAUGCUCCCGUUCCAUCCAAGAUGAACGUAAACAUUCCUGCACAACGAUUGGCAACAAUCCUCAACCCAACAGCCUUCAUCACCAUCCUAUGAUGCUAUCUAACACUCAAUAGUUCUAGCAAAACCAAAAUCAGAUGGUCUGUUUUGCUCAAUGAAUUACUUAUUAUCAUUACCAACCCGUGUGGCAGGUUGAUAUGGCAUAGACUAAAUAGUAUGAUUCAUAAACAGGCUUAAAAUAAUGCAAUACUGAGUUCUUUACCAAAUCAAGCAUUGGCAUUUCAUGUUCCCUGGGUUUCCAUUCGUUCCAAAAACAAACAACUGUCUUGCUAGAGAAAAUCAUGCUCAGAAUUCAUAUAGUUGUGCUUCAUUUAUGCAAGAAUCAAGACGAUUCAUGAGUUUAGCAAGUAGUUAAGCAUCUAGCAAACUGAUUGAUACUUAAAGCCCCCAUUUUCUUUUUUUCUUUUUUGUCAAAAUUCACUUGUAGCAACGCACAAGCGGAACUAAGCAUUCGAAAGUGUAUAUCCUAUUGAACCAAAAGUUGCAAUCACGAGCUGCUCACUCACCAUCUGUAUCGCAUGAAGUGGCCAUCAACAGGCGCGGCCUCAGGCACGUCGUCGGUGGAGAUUACACCGUUGGGCAGCCGCAGCAGCACGUACGGGGUGAUUUCGCACCCCACGAUCGGGAUCUCCGACGGCAGGUGCACCCGCACCACGCUCAGCAUCCUCCACUCCUGCUCCCCUCCCCUGCUCUCCUCUGCCCAGCCCAGGGGCGGAUCUAGAUGGUGUGCCGGGUGGGCACCGGCACACCCAAAAUUUGUGGACGCUGCGAGGACGGCGGAAGGCCAGGGCGACGUCGGGAGAGGAGGGGAGCGCCGCCGUCAAGGGGACCGGGAGAGCGAGACAGGGUUAGGGUUGGUUGCCUGAGGGUAUUUUUGGGCAUUUCGAAAAUCUAGAGUUGUGUCCAGCGCAUUUUUUUUCUAAACUAGUAUUGCGUAAGCGGGACGGAGUGGUAAUGUUUGUGCAAGACAAGAGAGAGCCGGAGAGGAUGACAUGUUUUUUUUAACGAUAAUAUUAAAAACUAGUCAAAUGUCCAUGGGACAAACUCAUAUGCGAUACUCACCGCAUUUGUAGUUAUAGAUUAAUACCUUUUCAUAGCAGUUUGCAGAGAUGGAACCAUGAAAGGCGUUGCAGACGUAUAAUUCACUCGCUAAAAAAUCCAUAUUGAGAAAAUAAUUAUGUACUUGAUAGACUCGGUCUCACGAAGUUCUGGUAAGAAGCCGGUUCGGAGGGACAAAGUUCCAGAAAGAUGGCCGCAAUGUCACGCACGACCAGGCGAAUUUGUGAUAGUUUUUUUGUUAUGAAAAAGCAAAGUAUAUGUGAUCGGCAUGCGACCUUGUGGAUUGGGGUUGAAAGUGUUGGACUGCAGUGUAUACCUUCAACCCACCACGUCUUGAUUUAAAGGCCAAAUCAACGUAGGAUUCGGACUCCUUAACUAAAUACGAUUAGGAUUCCCUAUCUAUGUCGGAUUUGGUCUCCUAUUCUGUGAUUGGCAAUUGGGAAUUUAGACAUUAAUCCAUAGCUUCUCCAACUCUUUAGUGAUUGAACGUAACGGUUGGUACAAGCUAGGCUGGGCGCGAUGGGCUGAGGCUGAGGCAAACCAACCAUGGACCUCGUACCGUUUAGAUUGAAAAAAGGACAUGUUUUUUUUUGUUUAUCGAUCAGGACGGACAGGCGCACGCACGAGGGUGAGUUGGAGGUUCAGAUCGGUUGGGCUUAGUGGAAGUUUUAAUGAAAAAGGCCUACGGACGUUCGCCAUCACCACCGAUUGUAAUAUAAUAGACAUUGUAGAUUAGUUAUGAUUUGGACCACCGGGCACCGGAACCCAAGCUGCUCAAUUUUGGCAAAAUUUGCAGAAAGCAAACUCAAACCCGAUGGCUCCUAUGUAGAUGGGAGUGAACUCAGAGUAUUCUCAUCGUGUUGCUACAAAGCUUUUCUUUGAUGAUGUUCCCUCCGUUGUGUUUCCCUUGCGUGCUCAAGGACACAAUGUUGUGAUUGAGGAAAUUGUUGAUGACCCUAGCUCUGCCAUCUUCCGUCCGUAAGUGAGGGCACAAGCAGCGCGUUGCUACUCCAGAAGUAACUUCAGGUCUGUGCCAUAGUUCAUGCUCUACCAUGUUUAGAGGAUUCAAGUCCUAGCUUGUUUCUGAUGUGCAGAAGAAACAGUCCAAGUGUCGAUGUUAUACAUUGUCAGAAUAUGAUUCGGGAUAGCACACGACCAAGGAUUACUACUACUCUUGAUGGCAACAGUCUACGUGUUUAUCAUUUGUUGGAACUCCAAGCACAAAGUGAUGUAACAAAGGGUGUUUUCCCCCACAAGUGUUUUACCCCCAACAAGCACCACAAUGGUUGUCAAUCACAAUGAUCACUAUACAGAAUCACUUAUUUCUGACGCGUUAAAAAACUUCUAGUCUGACGCAAAUGGGACGUGUCACUAAUCAAGUGUCAAAGAUGACUCGGGAACUUCUGACGUGUCAACAAGCGUCAGAAGUAGGAAACCCUAAUGACGCUUCUUGUCGAUUGUUAUUAGAGACAAGUAUCCUCAUGUCGGGUGAAGGCCAUGUUUGUUUGAGCUUCUGCUUCAGCUUUUGGUGGUUCUAGCUCUCUAAAAAGCACUGCUUCCGUUUACACAUGAAGCUGAGAAGCACGUCGUGAGGUGCUUCCCUCCAGAAGCUGCAGGAAGCACCUCCAGACGUGCUUCUCAGCUUCAUGUGUAAACGGGAGAAAUGCUUUUUAGAGGGCUAGAAGCAGCAAAAGCUGAAGAAAAAGAAAAAGCCCAAACAAACAGGGCCGAAGAUGAGUAAGAAGAUAGAGGGGCCUCACGGUGAUAUCUACUCGUGUAAGAUAGAGAACUCGGCGAAAGACAAGGGUUUAUACCGGUUUGACUUGCUCCUUUUCGUGAAAGCAAGCCUACGUCAUGUUGGUAAUCUAAUAUUUGUGUAUGAUAUUACAAGGUGUGUUCUGCCCAUCGAGGGCGCCUAGCCCGCUUUAUAUAGUCAAACAACUAGGGUUUCGGGUAGAGCCGGGUACAACUUUUACAUGGACUGUACCUUCCUAAACUAGUUAGGAUUCUUCCUUUACAAGAUAUCUACAACUAGUAUUUCCUAUUACCUGAACUAGGCUUCCUUCUUCAAUACGACAACUUCCUUGACCGAGUGAUAGGGGAUGUCUGGCUUGUGCGCUGAGUCGACUUUCUCUGUUCAGUCGUCUCUCAGCUACCCGGCUAGAAUAUCCUCGUCAUUAGCCCCGAGUACAAUGUGGAUAGGGGGGAGCUGAAUAAUGCCAUCGUCGUCAAUCUCGAAUCUUUCUCGUUUCAUGUGCUUUUCUUGAGUUGCUUCUUCUUGAUUUUAUUCCGACCUCAAAUCCACAAUGUACUUCUCUAUGACAGCUUGAGGUUCGAGCUCAUGGCUUCUUAUGCAUAAAGUUCAGCUAUAAGAGCAAACCAGCUUCUAUGUGGCAUGUGUUAGCAUUGCAGCGAUAUUAGCUCCUGUUUUGAUUUGUGUUUUUUCCUUAGCUGUAGCGUUGCUUUGAAUUAAUUAGCAACUACGUCGUGCAUGUAAAAAAAAGUGAGUUCCAACAAAUCUCUGACGUGCGCUAGAACAAGAGGUCAGUGAGCAUCAAAAGUAUACUGACGUGGCGACACAAGGAAGAGCUAGGAAAUUCCUCGUGAACAAAGUUGACGCUUCCACAAAGGAAAGAGUCACAUCAGCUAGAAUCUCCUUCGACGCUUACGAAGUAAGGAAGCGUCAGUAGAAAUGAAGAGUCAGAAGUGUGGAAGUUCUCCUACGCUUCUCCGAGGUAGGUGUCAGAAAUAUCUUAUUGACGCUGCCUCGUGGAUGCUACCUAUGACAGUCCUUAUAAGGAGCCGCAGAGAUAAGGAUUUGCGCUGACGCUUUUUAGUUUUGUGUCAGUGGGGAGCUUGCAAGAGUAAAGUCUAUAGUAGUGAGUGUAAGGCUAAACUUUAAAUAAACAAAUAAUAACUUUAAGUAAACUAAUGCAAAACAAUAAUUUAAACUAACUAGAAGAUGCAAUAACUAUAUAAUAAAUACUACUACUUAUUAUGCAACUAAAUAACCAAGAGAGAAUGUUUAAAUGGCUUUUUACAAGAUAUCUAAAAAAAAGCAAUUAAAUAAAUGCAAAAUAAUUGUAACAGAGGUGUUUCUUAUGAUAUUAAAGAGGACCAGGAUACUCUUUGCGGCAUGAAUAUAGCACAUAGGACAAGUUCAUUUACUUUGCAAUGUUUUUAUGAAGUGAAUGAUAAGCAUUCAUAUGGACAUCACGUCCUAAUAUUGAGAAUAUGCAAAAUAUCUCACUAAUGCUCCCUUGGUAAGUGACUCAUCAAACUAGAUUAUUGCUUUAGGUACUUUGACAUGAUGUUGAACUUUAAUGCAACUUUGAGCAAGCAAGACCACCAUUGUUGUCAUUUGGUAGCAUAAUGCGUAUUCAUUUAUCCCUAGCGGGUCAAAUCACUGAAAGGUGAAAAUCAUAGUGGUUCCCAAAAUUUUUGUCACUAUCCGGUUGCCACUACCAAUUGCUCUAUCUAAUACACACAUCCCCACACAUGCACAUGUAAACUAGUAUGAUUAGUACAAGUAAGCAAGAAGGGAUAGACAUAUGCAUCUAUCAAUACAUCAAAACACAAUCCAAACAUUGCAAACUCAUGACUCAUCUCAUAACAAAAGGUUCACCAAUAAAAAAUAUAACGAUGAUCAUAAUCAUGAUAGGAAACUCGUAUGAUUCUAUUACAACCCAUAGCCCAGCGAGGACUACUCCCUCAUCAUAUUGGUGAUGAUAGAGAAUAUGUUCAAGGAGAAGGAGAGGCGACCGAUGGUAUUUUCCCUUCUAAUCUUGGAUCAAUCUGAUGUUGUUUUUUUUCUUUCCGAGUCGUUGUGCUAUGCAAGCGCAAAGCACGGGGUAUUAAUAAAUGGUUUUAGGUCAAGACGAAUCUUCGGGUGAAAGAAUGCACUUGCGGGCGGCCACUCGGGAUAAAAAACAACCAUGGUGAAUUAUGAUAAUCUAGUUUUUUCGACUACUACCUCUGAUCCUAAAUUGUUGUCGUGGUUUUACUUCAAAUUUGUACUAAAACCACGACAAGAAUUAAGGAUCCGAGAGGUAGUUUUUACCUAUUUUUCAAUUCGGCUUACCUAUUAUUUUCUAAUUUUCUUUGUAUGUUUUGACAAAUUCAGCACACUUCAGCAACCCAAACUGAACAUUAGUCCCGUACAGGAUUCCAGAGUGCGUUGUACGCAUGUGUUAGUAUAUUCCUAAGCAAGCAAGAAAAAAAUAAAAAGAAGCAAAUAGUAGCAACUAUCGGUUGAUCCCGGCCCUGGGCCAGGACAAGAAGGGCGACAGCCCGGGCCCGCCCAAUCCAGGGGACCAGAUCAUAUGUGUAUACGCUAGUAGAGAUACAUGUCCAAAUAUUGAUUAGCAUAAAAGAAAGAGGAAAAAAGCUAGAGGCCCAGCAGAUUGCUCCGCUCCUGGCCAACCCAGGACGUAUCAACGUGCUCGAAAAUUCCCCUUGGCACCCGGUAUCCAGGCCUAUGUGUAUCUCAGCCGACCAAUUUUCCAUCCUACGGCUCCAUCCUGCAGCUCCUGUCGUCCGGCCCGUUUAAGUAUACAAUUUGCUAUUCUCCCGUACAGGCGGUAUUUGCACCGGUUGGCCUGACACAUCCUUUUUUAUAUUGCGUUUCCCAGGCUGGCUGGCCCAAGUCCCACCUCGCGCAUUGCUGGGUGAGCACAAGUCCUUUUCUCCCGCUGCAUACCGUGGCACAGGUCUGCCCUUGAGACAUCGCAUUAAAUUUCCAUCAGUCCCAUUUUUUUGGCCCAAGAUUUCUGGGCAGGCACAGGUCCACGCCAUUGGGGGGGCGGUGGCGCGGCUGGCGAGGCCGACGUCGCGGCUGUCGAGGGUGCCUGCCACGGGCGAUGAGUCACCGAGUCAGGCUUCGGUGCCCAGAGCUGAAAAGCGUGCCGCGGUAGACGAUGUUGGGCGCCUUAAUGCCGUGCUCGGACACGAUUCGGUCGGGGACGAAGCUGUCAGUUCCCGCGCAUAGCUCAUCAAGGCUGUACUCUGUGAUCAUCGGCACAGCACUGUCGUCUUCCCCAGUUUCCCCAUUCUCUAUUUCUCUACACAGGGAAAGCAAACAGCAAGGGGAAGAGCAUCCAUCCUGUAAAGCAACGAGCUGCCGGCGAUGGCCUUCUCCACGACCGCGGAGCAACGCAGCGCCGUCCCCGUGCCUUCGCUGGAUGCCCGCUCGCAGCUCCGUGAUGGACCGCUUCCGCACGAGCACCGCCCGCCCGAACGGGUCGUGCGCGUCGGCAAGCGCGAGGGCCGAGGGACACGUUGAGGUGGCCAAAGGCCGGGUCGCUAGGGAAGAACUCCGAGCUGCAGACCGGGGGCGCGGGGCAGGGACGGAUGUUCGGGCAUCGGCCGGACCUCCUCCGUUGGCAGCUUCCGCAGGCGAGGAAAACUUGAGGGGCAACGGCAGAUAUUUGGGAUUUGACGUGGGUAUUGGUGCUCCGAUCUUUCCAUCAGAUUGAUAACUCUCGAUUUGGGUUGAAGAUGACGUUUGACGAUCCGACUACGGUCUAAAAGACAGCGCCUUAGUAAUCAAUACACCAACUACAGAGAGUUAUUGAUCACGCGGGGCACGAUCAACCUGACCACGAAGGUUUUUAUUCCUGCAAGCAAUCGAAAAACAAGCAAGACCAAGAUAAAUAGUGGAUGCAAUCUGAAAUUGCGAAUAUACUAUAUCAAACCAAUGUCUCAAUGAGACGAUAAGUUGGGAUUUCGAAAGUGGUAAAGCAGGUGGUCUAGCCGACAUAGACGAUUACACGAAGUUGUAGCGAUGGCUAACUUUUAACUAAACAAAACCCAAGUCUCCAUAGGGAGGCUAGUGGGGUAUAUAAAAGAGGAGGGAGAGAGAUUUUCGCCCACCUUGAGUAAGGAGGCCGAAAUCCAAAUCUAUUUCUAACUUUUCUAACAAACUAUAACUCUUUAGGAAACAAAAAAACAGAUCCGUCAUCUUGUUUUGUCUGCCACGGCCAGCACGCGUCGAAUCUCCUUGUGGGGUCAAAUCUGUUGGAAAGGUCUUGUAAUUACCUUUCCAACAAGUACUUGUUUGCUUGAUUUGGACUCUGAAUGCGGUCUGGGUGAUUAAAACAAAUUCGGAUCUCCUGACAGCUCGGACCCGAAUCGGAUUCAACUUUAAUUCGUGAUAUCUUUCACUAGCAAGCUCCGAACCAUGUGCCGUUCGAUUUGUUGGAAAGUAGACUUGAUAGGCUUCACCUUGCAUCUCCCGUUGCAUGCUAUCGCACCUCAUCUUCACUUUGGAUUUGAAAAGCUCGACCAAAUAUCUACAUAAUAAAAUGAUACAAGAUAGUAGCUCUGCCUCUUCAUGCAUAUGGCAUUGAAAACAAAUAGUACUUGACUUCACCUGAUUAUAAAAUGUUAUCGAAUACUCUAGAACUGAGGGUGCCAAAGGUUGUAUCUAUGGUUAGCAUGUCCAUAUCAUCUUCCCUUUCUUGAAACAAAAGCCGUCCUCGGUGUCGUUUGUGCUGAAAAGAGACUGACAAAACAGACAAAGUGUGUGCAUGGGUAUAUGUACAUGUCAUCCAUCUUUAUACAUCUCCUUUCUUGCACAAUUAAUGUUUUAUAAAAAAAUCUCAUGAGAUAAGUAGUCAAACAAUCAUCAUGAAUUACAUUCCAGCAAGAAGAUUGACAAUAUGUUUUGCAUAUAUAAGUGAAACAAUAUCUUAUACUAGUAAAAAGCCCGUGCUUUGCUACGGAAGAAGACUUUCUUUUAAAAACAUGCUAUAGGUUAAUUUUCAAAUAGUCGGCUGACUUGGGCUUGCGGGGCUGCGGCUUGGGCUGAAAGGUGGAGAUGGGGUUGGUGGGCCUGAAGGGGGCUCGGGGUUGCUGGGUUGCUGUGGGAUCGAGGCAGCGGGGAGGUUGAAGGCACGGGAGCAAGGGGAGGCAGUGCCGGCGAGGUGGACGAUGGGAGCAGCACGCGAGGGUGCUGGGCUGCCACGGUGACUGGAGCUUGGCGACAACGUUGGCGGAUUGCAGCAGCGAGGGAGAGGAGAAGAGGGCGCAACGAGUAAUGAAGGCAGGAGCGCCAGAGAGAGGAGGCGGCUAGACAGAGGAGAUCGGGAGGGAGAAAGGAGCUCGAGGGGAAAGAUGAAGGAGCAUAGGGGAUAUCGGGGAGGACCGGCUGCCUGGUUGGGUGGACGGGCAGGACAAGAAAAGGGGACGAGAGCGAGAGGGAUAGGGUUCGAGGAAGCCCGCAGAGGUUAGGGCUCGGGGGUCAGACGGAUGUUUUUCGGGACUGGGGAUAUGCAGUGGCAUAUUGAGCGUAAUUUUAAUGGAGUGACGUACCGCGACACCUGUACCAUCACCACCAACUCCAAUUUAAUAUAUUUGUAUAGAUUUAGUUUGCACCGCUCACCAUUAUACCAUCCCAACACUGGAGAAUAAUAAUUAAUGGUACCCAAAUUAGUUACUACAAGAUGCUGAAAUUUAGAGCAAGUCAAAGCAGUAAUAUUCAAACAAUCGUGUAAACAACUAUUUGGCAAAUAAUCAACACCAAUAUUGGAGAUCAUAUCAAAAUAGUUAAGCAUAUGCAAGAAUUUAUUUUCUCCCAAGAUAGUAAAAUUAUCACAAGUAAUACAAAUUUCAUGUACCAAAAAGUUAUUAUUCACAUCAUGUUCUCCAAUUAGUUGAAUAGUGGAUCCAUGAACAUUAGGAAAAGAUUUUGAAAUUGUUAACUUGGACACUUUUUCCAUUGCAUAUGAUAAAUACAUAUGUGUAUCAAGUGUAAUAUAACACAAAGAAUUAAUAGGUGGAUCCUUAUGAAUCACUCCAUGUCUAAUUAACUCGACACAACCUAAGCCAAAUUUAUCUAUCUCACAUGUUUCUCCCAAAGCAUUAGUUCUGUCCUGACAUGAUUCAUGCUCAUCAAUAUCAAAAUUAAUAUGUGCACUAAAAUCAUUAGAAAAAUUAAUUUCAGCACUAGGUGUACUCAAAUCAGCAUGUAAAUCAACAAUUUCACAUGGUGCAGAAAAUUCACCGAGUAUCUCAUUUAUUUCAUCACAUGUCAUAUUUAGUUCAGGAACACAAUCAUCUUUACCAUUACCUUGUGGUCUCGACUCAUUUGUAGUAGACCUUCACUGUAAUUUCCUCUCAACUUCACGAGCAAGAUUAAGCAAACACAAAAAAGAGUCGUAUUUUCCAUAUUCAAUUAUGUAAGAAAUAUCAAAGUUAAGCCCACAAUAAAACCUAUCCAUUUUUGUUUGUUCGGUUUCAUCUAAACCAGAUCGCAAGGUUAGAAUUUGGAACUCCUGAUAGUAAUCAUCAACAGUUUUAUCAUCUUGUUUCAAACGUCGUACUUUUGCACGCAAGUUACAAGCAUAACUAAAAGGGACAUAUUUUUCUCUCAUGAUUUUCUUCAUAUCAACCCAAGUGUGAGGAAUUUUCUUUUCUCUAACUAUCUCACUCCACCAAGAUAAAGCAGCAAAAGUAAAUUUACUACUAGCAAUUUGGAACUUGCGACUAUCAAGUACAUGGAAGCAUGUGAAUUGUUCAGUUAAAGCUAUCUCCCAAUCUAUAUACGUUUCAGCAUCAUUUUCCCCCUUAAAGAAAGGUACACACAAUUUAAUUGUAUUGGAAGGAUUGUUUCGUACCGUUGCCGUCGCAUUGUCAACAAAAGACGUGGAGGAUGGCCAUGGUGAAAAGCACUCAUCGCGGUCACGGGAUUGCAUCGGUCUAGUUCCCAUGCUUCGUGUAAGUCCUGUCAUUGUUAGUAGAAAACAAGAAACAAAUCACAGUAAUAUGUUCCUAUCAACUAAUAGGAUGUGGCUACAAGUCGUUCAACUCUCAAGCUAAAAAUCAAGUUCUUACAAGUUCUUACCAUGCAACAAGAAGGUGAUGGCCAGCGGCUUGACCAAGCCCCUCCGAGGAUUAAAUGUAUCAAUGCCUCGGUAACAAACCAACCUAGGUGUAGAAUCUGUGUAGCUUGGAAGCUUUUGUGAGUAGCAAGGAAUAGCAAAUAAUCAAACAGCAAUGCAAAGUUGAAAAUAUGCUAAAUAAUGCUAGUCCUAACUGCUGGAGUCGAUAAUAACGAAUUACAGAAAUAAUCUAAGCCUAGAUAGUGAAGAAGGUAGGAUAGAAAGAUCAAAAUAAAGGUAAAACAACUAAAUCUCUAGGAUUUUUCUUUUCUUUUAUUUAUUUAUUUAUUUAUUUUUGUGGCCUUCUGUUUGGCUUCUUAUUCUUUUCUUCUUUUUUUAUUUUUUUAAUCCCAGAAACUCAUGCAAAAGAAGUAAAGACCGGAAAACUGCACGUCGGUCUGUCGAAGAACAGCAAAGGGUGCUGUAAGAAAAUGUCAGAAAAAUAUGGAAAAAUAUAGGUUAGGAGCGUAUCGAAACAAGCUUUCCAGGAAGUGCAAGAUCACUCAAAUCGGAGGCCGGACGAUGGAGAUAACGUAAAAACACCGGCCUGCAGCGAUGCCGGAAACCGGAUGCAGAAACUUGGAAGCUCUGAAAGUCCACCUUACAAACCGAGUUUGAGGGUCAAGGAGUCAGUGCGAUGCCCUGGAUAUUUUCUCGUGCGCUUCGUCAUGAGCUUUCCAGAAAGUACUAGAAGGUCCAAAUCUGAGUUGGUGACCGUUUUACUGAACACGGGUCAAACCCACUCGAAACUAUAAUUCUCCUGAACGUGGAUCUGAAACUGAUUCUUUUUCUCUCUCUUUUUUUUCAUUUUUUUUCCUUUUUUUUCCUUCCUUUUCUUUGCUUUUUUUUCACAACUUUCCGAACAACUUGAUCUCUAAACAAAAUUCGAUCUAUUAUGAAACACUUUCCAAAAGCACUCUCGAUUGGACUCGGACUCGAACCCGGAGAAGGACUCGGUGUAUGACUCGAUGGAAGAUUAUGGCGUGGCGGUGGUGUGGCAGGGAGUUUGGCGGCAGAAAAUUGAGGAAGGAAACCUGCGUCACACGAAGAACAAGAAAACCAAAAGCAAGUUCGAUCUAGUAGAAAAAGUCUGAAAAACGAUCCAAUCUAAUCCAGCAACUCGACACGAUUAAUGCAGCAAAGGUUCAACAAUGCAAAUACUAAUGUGAAAAUUGCAAGGCUCAGAUUGGUUUUUGGGACGAAGGUAAGUAAUCUCUACUUUUUUAUUGUCUUUUUCUGGACUAUAGGUAAAACAUAUCUAAACUAUGGAAAAAUACCACGUGAUGUGGGUCGGGGUGGCCCGAUAUUUCGAUGAGAUUGAUAACUCUCGAUUUGGGUAGGAGGUGACGUUGACGAUCCGACUACGGCCUUGAAAGCAGCGUCUUAGCAAUCGAUACACCAACUCCAGAGGGUUAUUGAUCACGCGGGGGCACGAUCAACCUGACCACAAAGGUCUUUGUUCCUACAAGCAAACGAAGAACAAGCAAGAACAAGAUAAAUAUCGGAUGCAAUCUGAAAUUGCGAAUAUACUAUAUCAAACCAAUGUCUCAACGAGACGAUAAGUUGGGGUUCCGAAAGCGGUAAAGCAGGUGGUCUAGCCGACACACGCGAUUACACGAAGUUGUAGCGAUGGCUAACUUUUAACUAAACAAACCCAAGUCUUCAUAGGGGGGCUAGUGGGGUAUAUAAAGGAGGAGGGAGAGAGAUUUUCGUCCACCUUGAGUAAGGAGGCCGAAAUCCAACUGUAUCUCUAACUUUCCUAACAAACUACAACUCUUUAGGAAACGGAAAAACAGAUCCGUCAGCUUGUUUUGUCCGCCACGGCCAG